GAGAUUGUGAUCCAAAAUGUAGUGGUUCAGCUUUAAAUAGGUUAUGGGUUGGAAGGGGGCCUGUGGAGUUUUUAUUCCAACCUGAACAUGUCCUUUG